CAUGAAAGUCUAAUAAAUCUCAUGUUACUAUCAACCAAUCAAAUCAUUGACUUUUAUUGUAUUUUCAUAUUAUAAGAGUAGUAUUAUUUUAUUUUAUUUUCAAUAACAAGAAUAAUGCUUCAAAUUUACAAGGAUGUUUGAAGUUUACAUAUAUAUAAUUUAAUUUUAAAAAUAUGUUAAAAUUUUAUAUAUGUAUUUUCAAUGUUGUUUUUCAUUUUCUCAUUGAAUCUUUAUCGAUAUUAAAGUUUCAAUAUUGUGUUGGCAAUGCUCCAUUCAAAUUUAUGCCCUAUCAACUUUCAAUGGUAGGAUAGAGGCCUACCAUGGUGGUGACGGGUGACGGAGAAUUAGGGUUCGAUUCUGGAGAGGGAGCCUAAGAAACAGCUACCACAUCCAAGGAUGGCAGCAG
rfam:Picea glauca, whole genome shotgun sequence.